AUUGAACGCUGGCGGCAGGCCUAACACAUGCAAGUCGAACGGGAACAGGGAGACGCUUGGCUCUUUGGUGAGGAGUGGGGGAGAGGGGUGUAAUGUCUUUGGAACUGCCCUAUGGAGGGGGGGGUCAACUGGGAACAGUAGCUAAUACCGCAUAUCGUCCCAAGACGAAAGAGCGGGAGAUGCUGGCCUCUUGCGCUCGGGUGUGCGCAGAUGGGAUUAGCUAGUAGGGGGGGUAUCGGCGCACCUAGGCGCCGCUCUCUAGCUGGUCUGAGAGGAUGACCAGCCACACUGGAACUGAGACACGGUCCAGACUCCUACGGGAGGCAGCAGUGGGGAAUAUUGCACAAUGGGCGCAAGCCUGAUCCAGCCAUGCCGCGUGUAUGAAGAAGGCCUUCGGGUUGUAAAGUACUUUCGGCGGGAAGGAAGGGAAGCAGGUUAAUACCUUUCCUUAUUGACGGUACCCGCAGAAGAAGCACCGGCUAACUCCGUG
rnacentral:rRNA from 1 species